rnacentral:rRNA from 1 species
UACGUAGGGUGCAAGCGUUAAUCGGAAUUACUGGGCGUAAAGCGUGCGCAGGCGGCUUUGCAAGACAGAUGUGAAAAUCCCCGGGCUUAACCUGGGAACUGCAUUUGUGACUGGCAGGCUAGAGUAUGGGCAGAGGGGGUAGAAUCCACGUGUAGCAGUGAAAUGCGUAGAGAUGUGGAGGAAUACCGAUGGCGAAGGCAGCCCCUGGCCAAUACUGACGCUCAUGCACGAAAGCGUGGGGAGCAAACAGG